GCGUGUUUAUAUUAUUUUAAAUUUUACUGUUUUAGACACGUGGCAUGUGGUAUCUCACUAAUUAGCUAUUUUAAACAUGUGACAAGUGGUAUGACACUGUGACAAGUGGUAUGACACUUUCUGCAGGGUCAUCCGCUGGCAAAGAGGACCCUCAGUUAGGACGAACGUCAGGCAUCAAAAGCCCUUAAAAGGGAGCUGCGCUCCUACAAUACUAUGACCGAAUAUUCUGAGAAGCACAAACAGUGCUUAGUUGGUGGAAAAGAACAUAUGGCAUAAGAAUCAGUUGCCACUACUAAGCUAGCAAGACAACACCUUUGGACUCGUUUUUUUUUUUUUUUUCAGGAUGGCAACAUUAUUAGUGCAAAAGGAACCAAGUUAGUUCACACGACCUCUACAAGGUUGAUUCCAAUUAAAGCGAACUAUCCUCCGAUGAUGCAUAAAAUAAACCUAAAGCUGCUAACUAAUGCGGAAAAAACGAAAUCGACAAAGAAAUCGAAAAAGAUGAGGAAAUAAAGAGACAAAAGAUAGUCUAUAAACUUUUACCCAUUGGGCACAAGUAAGUUUUGAAAAAGUUUAGUAAACGUUUAAUGGUCGCUUGAACAACGACGCUUGAAUGAGUAAAAACGUUUCAAAAAAGUUUUAAUAAGA
rnacentral:lncRNA from 1 species